GACGAACGCUGGCGGCGUGCUUAACACAUGCAAGUCGAGCGGUAAGGCCCUUUCGGGGGUACACGAGCGGCGAACGGGUGAGUAACACGUGGGUGACCUGCCCUCAGCUCUGGGAUAAGCCCGGGAAACCGGGUCUAAUACUGGAUAUGACUCCAUGACGCAUGUUGUGGGGUGGAAAGCCUUGUGCGGCUGAGGAUGGGCCCGCGGCCUAUCAGCUUGUUGGUGGGGUGAUGGCCUACCAAGGCGACGACGGGUAGCCGGCCUGAGAGGGCGACCGGCCACACUGGGACUGAGACACGGCCCAGACUCCUACGGGAGGCAGCAGUGGGGAAUCUUGCGCAAUGGGCGAAAGCCUGACGCAGCGACGCCGCGUGAGGAUGAC
rnacentral:rRNA from 1 species